rnacentral:rRNA from 1 species
CGACCUGAGCUCGGGCAAGGCUACCCGCUGAACUUAAGCAUAUCACUAAGCGGAGGAAAAGAAACUAACAAGGAUGCGCUUAGUAACGGCGAGCGAACCGCGCAAAGCCCAACUUGAAAAUCUCCCUCGGAGAAUUGUAGUCUAUAGAAGUACCCUCUGCAACGGGCUGAGCUAAAGUCUCCUGGAAAGGGGCGUCAAAGAGGGUGAGAACCCCGUAAGCUCACGCUUAGUUGCCUCACGAGGUGCUUUCGAAGAGUCGGGUUGCUUGGGAAUGCAGCCCAAAUUUGGUGGUAAAUCCCAUCUAAGGCUAAAUAUUGGCGAGAGACCGAUAGCGAACAAGUACCGUGAGGGAAAGAUGAAAAGAACUUUGAAAAGAGAGUUAAAAAGUGCUUGAAAUUGUUGAGGGGGAAGCGUUUGAAUGCUCGAGUGCGCUUAGGCUGAUGGGUCCUUAACGGGGCUCUGUAUGUGCUAAGUGCUGGCCAGCAUGGGUUAGGCUAGUGGGACAAAAGCGUGGAUUGAUACCAUGCCGCUGCCACUGGCCUGACCAAGGCGUGAAGACUGCCCUUGUCCUUCGGGAACUGCAGUCUCAAGAUGCUGGUGAAAGGCUCAACGAACGUUGGA